rnacentral:tRNA from 1 species
GCCUGAGGGGCUCAGUCAGUGAAGCGUCUGACUUCGACUCAUGUCAUGGUCUCACAGUUUGUGGGUUCGAGCCCCACGUCAGGCU